UACGAAGGGGGCUAGCGUUGCUCGGAAUCACUGGGCGUAAAGCGCACGUAGGCGGAUCUUUAAGUCAGGGGUGAAAUCCCGGAGCUCAACUCCGGAACUGCCUUUGAUACUGAGGGUCUUGAGUCCGGGAGAGGUGAGUGGAACUGCGAGUGUAGAGGUGAAAUUCGUAGAUAUUCGCAAGAACACCAGUGGCGAAGGCGGCAUCCUGGACCGGCAUUGACGCUGAGGCGCGAAAGCCAGGGGAGCAAACGGG
rnacentral:rRNA from 1 species